UACCAGAAAUUCUACACCAGUUCUCGUACAAGCACAGAAGUUAAGCAAAUUUGAGCCUGGUCAGUACCUAGAUAGGUGAUCGCUUGGCAAUGCUAGGUGCU